GGGCGGUUAGCUCAGGUGGGAGAGCGUAUCCCUUACAAGGAUGAGGUCGCUGGUUCGAUCCCAGCACCGCCCACCA
rnacentral:tRNA from 1 species